AGAACACAGAGCAAAAAAUUUGAUUCGAGAUUUGCUUGUUGAGAGAGGGAAAUUCAAUAACUGAUUAUGAGCAUCUCCCUCAUCUAUGUCUAGAGGGAUCCUUGUUUGGUUUAUCUCAAGCAACCUGAGAUUUUUAGACCUAGAUGGAGGAGAUUGUGAUAAUCAGUUGGGAGCUGUGGAGUAUGUUGAGGAAUAUUUUGUACAGAUACUACGAUUGAAUAGUAAUACAUACAUGCAUUCACUGAAAUAAUGAGAUUAUCGUGUCUAAUUUUAAGAUUUCAUCAUCCAAAAGUCAAAGCCUAGUUCGUGACUAUUUGGGGAUUCACAGCCUCAAAUCAAUGAGAUCUGGUUCAUUGAAGUUACUAGGCAUGAGUUCUAUGCCGAUUGCUAGUGAAUAUGAAGAAAUUUGGGCACCAGAGUUGCUUUGAGGGAGUUGAGGUUGGAGAAGAAUUUGUUGUUCUAGGUUGAGUAUUUGGGGAUUCACAGCCUCAGAUCAAUGAGAUCUGGUUGAUUGAAGUUACUAGGAAGGAGAUUUAUGCUCAUUGCUAGUGAAUAUCAAGAAAUUUGGGCACCAGCAUUUCUUCUGAAAUUGGAGGUGCGGUUGCUUUGAGGGAGGUGAGGUUGGAGAAGAAUUCGUUGUUCUGGAAAAAGUGUUCAUCUUUAACCACCCUUUUCGAGCAUUGAAUUCUCUGCUAAAGCACAAAGCAGGCCACCACUCAGUUCCGUGAACUGAGAGGCGCACCACCCGGUUCCGUGAACUGGGAGAUGCAAAGGCAAGCCACUGCUCGGUUCUGUGAACUGAGCGGAGGGCAAAUGCAAUUGCAUACAGGUAUUGGCAUAAUGUUCGUUUCAAAUAAAAAGGUAAAUUUUUUUAACUCUAAUAUGCUCAUUAUGUUUUGCAUAAAAUUUGUUUCUAACUUGAGCGUCGGAGUAUCUUUUCUGUUUUUUUGCAGGUCUUGCCUUUGUAUUCCUAUUACAAAUUCAAUUAGCAGAGUUGUUGAAAUGGAAUGCUGGUGCCUCGUGGAGAUGUUAUCUGUGUUAUUUUUUACUAUGUUUUGCAUAAAUUUGUUUCUAACUUGAGCGUCAGAGUGUCUUUUUUGUUUUUUGCAGAUCUUGCCUACGACCAAUUCAAUUAGCUGAGUUGUUGAAACAGAACGCUUUUACUAUUUGCAUAGAAUUGUUCUAACUUUAGCAUCGGAGUAUCUUUUUUGUUUUUUGCAGGUCCUGCCUUUGUAUUCCAACUAUGACCAAUAGAGUUGUUGAAACAGAAGGCUGGUGCCUCAUUGGGAAUGCUAUUAUGUUUGGCUUUUGAAUAUGCAUCAGUUUGCCUUUAGGGUAUGUCUGACUUCUAAGGAUACAAAUGGAGACUGAUCAGUCCUUUGAAUUGUAUACUGACGAGACCCUCCUUGCCCCUAAUGGAGGCUACAUUUUGACUUAAAAGUGUUGCCUGCUUAUUUGGAGGCCACUCAUUAGGGAGAAUUUGUAAAGUGGAAUGCUGGUGCCUGGUAGAGAAUGCUUUCGUGCUUAAAAGUAUACCAGUCUGUUGCCAGGGGUCAAAGAGCUUAAUAUUAUAUUGAGUGUGAAGGAUAUGUAUCCUUUCACUUGUGUACACUAACGAUGCUACAUGGAAUCCCUUGCUGAUAAACCAAACAAGGAUCCCAUUCUGGACAUAGAUGGAGGAGGAAAUGCUGAUAAUCAGUUGGAAGUACAUCGAAGAAUCGUACAAAUAUUACAAGCCUUGCAGAGGUAAUUCUCUUUAAUUGUAGCUCAAUUUUCACCUCAUAUAAAUAAUACAUUCUCUUAAAAUAAUUAUGUCUAAUUUUAAGAUCCCAUCAUGCACAAGUGAAGCCUAAUUCACGACUAUACGGGGAAACAUAGGAUGGUUUUUGUAGACUGGUUCACAGCAUAUUUGAACUCGCCCCUGAAACCCUUUUUCUUUCCACGCCCAUUGUUGUAAAAUAAGAGUUGCAGCAGUGUAGUUCACAUAUGGGCAUGCGCUAAGCCGCUCAUGCGGCAUGGUGGGUGGUGCAUGUGUAGAGUUUGGUGUGCUGGUAUGCCAUGACCAGUGGACCGACCAUGAGCAGUUAAUAGGCAUCAGUUAUCUGGUAGAAGUUCCAUUUGAAAUAAUGAUGAAAUUGCUUACGUCCUAAUGCAGGCUUGGAGUGACUUCAUACAGAACUUAUACCAGAGAACUUUUGUGACUAAGAUUCUCAUUAUGUUUUUGACUUGCUAUAUGAUGCAGAGAAGUUGGUAGGACCUCGACUCAUCAUAAUACAUGAAUUGUCUGAAUUAUACUGUUGUCUUGUAUCUUGACUCUUCAGUCCUUUGAAUGAGCACAUUGAAUACUCGUCGUCCACUUUUCAGUAAACCCACUUGUCAGGCACAAAAUAUCUCUAGUCAAUAGUCAUACACUAUGUUCUAGCUGUAAACAUACUGUCUGAUGUUGACAAAGCUAUGCCCGACCCUUUGGCCAAGACACAGAGAGUUCACCCGGUUUCAGUAUCAGCUCAGCCCGCCAUCCCCUAUAAUAGGGGGUUGGGAUUAAUCUGUAGUUCCCUCCAAAGCGGUAAGAAAAACUCCAUGCCAAGGAGAUGUGCAUCUCUGCAAUAUCAUUUCUGAAUAUGGGCCUUUGGGCAAAUAAAGUGUGUAUAUAAGUCCACCUGUGUAUAUUGUCUUUAACUAAAAACGUGAGGCUGCAGUCUAAUGUGUCAGCUCAAUUCACUUUCUGAUAAGCAAAAGUAAAUAAAUAAAAGCUUAA